ACAUCCAGAGAACUUAGCAGAGAUGCUUUGGUGCCUUCGGGAACUCUGAGACAGGUGCUGCAUGGCUGUCGUCAGCUCGUGUUGUGAAAUGUUGGGUUAAGUCCCCGNAACGAGCGCAACCCUUUAUCCUUUGUUGCCAGCGGUUCGGCCGGGAACUCAAAGGAGACUGCCGGUGAUAAACCGGAGGAAGGUGGGGAUGACGUCAAGUCAUCAUGGCCCUUACGGCCAGGGCUACACACGUGCUACAAUGGCGCAUACAAAGAGAAGCGACCUCGCGAGAGCAAGCGGACCUCAUAAAGUGCGUCGUAGUCCGGAUUGGAGUCUGCAACUCGACUCCAUGAAGUCGGAAUCGCUAGUAAUCGUAGAUCAGAAUGCUACGGUGAAUACGUUCCCGGGCCUUGUACACACCGCCCGUCACACCAUGGGAGUGGGUUGCAAAAGAAGUAGGUAGCUUAACCUUCGGGAGGGCGCUUACCACUUUGUGAUUCAUGACUGGGGUGAAGUCGUAACAAGGUAAGCGUAGCGAG
rnacentral:rRNA from 1 species